rnacentral:rRNA from 1 species
UACGUAGGGUGCGAGCGUUAAUCGGAAUUACUGGGUUUAAAGGGUGCGUAGGUGGGUUGGUAAGUCAGUGGUGAAAUCCCCGAGCUUAACUUGGGAACUGCCAUUGAUACUAUCAGUCUUGAAUACCGUGGAGGUUAGCGGAAUAUGUCAUGUAGCGGUGAAAUGCUUAGAUAUGACAUAGAACACCAAUUGCGAAGGCAGCUGGCUACACGAAUAUUGACACUGAGGCACGAAAGCGUGGGGAUCAAACAGG